CGUGCACUGGUGGGGUCCCUCGGCCUGGCCUGUGCCCUCUCACAAUCCAGGACCCCUGGGGGAUGUUGGAUAGCCGGUUUUGGCCCGAUCCCCGCAGGCCAGGCCAAGGGACCCCACCAGUGCACG
rnacentral:pre_miRNA from 1 species